rnacentral:lncRNA from 1 species
CAGAGGGCCGCGACGUACCAGCAGAGAUGGAGAGUUUGGCACCUACUAACAGAAAAGGCCACAGUGCAGUAGUGUACCAUGCCAGCAUGUACAUCUAUGGGGGAUACGUUGGCAUCAGAGGCAUCUCACAGGAAUUUUGGACUUUCCAUUUUGAUACAAGAACGUGGUUAUACGUUUCCACCCCACCUCACAACACUGGCCCAGGACCUCGGCACGGUCAUUCGGCGGUAGUUUAUCAUACAGCCAUGUACCUCUUUGGAGGACUGGUGGGGCUGAGUGAACAGAAAGAUUUAUGGAAGUGGGACUUUGGAAACAGCAGCUGGUAUAACAUCAGAACAAGGUACAG